CUUUGAUUCCAUCUGGAUCAUCCUCAACUGUCCCUGCUUUCCUCUAGUCUUCACAUCGGGUUCAUCCAUCAUCAUCAUCAUCUGUAAAUUAUCACUCUUUCUCCAAAGGAUUUGGCUAAGUCCCCCUACUCUCCCAAGCUGGAUGGUCACACUUACUGUGCUCAGAUAAUCAAGUUAAGCAACCUUUGGAUCUGGCUCUUAUCUUUGUUGGUUCAGAGGUGAGUUUUCUUACCUUCAAAGGCUGAAAAAUCCACCAUCAUCAACCGUUGUGAGGACCUUUCAUCAAUAUUUUCAGCAGUUGGUUUCUUUGUUGAUAUUAACUUAAGGCAAAUAAGGAGAGAGAUGCUAAACUUUCUAAAAAGAGUGUUAUGGUAGAAAAUGUUAAAAGGCACCGGUGGUACUUAAGUUAAUACCUUUCAAUAUGUAAUAUCGUUAUUGAUGCAAUUAAGUAUUGAAUCUUAUAUAAUUUAAUGUAAUAAUUUUUAUAAAAAACCGUUAACUAAUUACAACACGUUAUCUCUAAGUGAUACUAGACACUACAAGUGUCUGAUUAUAAUUAUCUUUUAUUCUUUUAUGCCCUUUAACGUUU